AACGCACAUUGCACCCCUUGGUAUUCCGAGGGGUAUGCCUGUUCGAGCGUCAUUAUAAUAAUCAAGCUUCGCUUGGUAUUAGAGUCCGCCUACAGCGGCUCCUAAACUCAGUGGCUGUGCCGUGUGGUAUUAAGCGUAGUAAUCUCCCUCGCUAUAAUUCCAGACAGUAACUCGCCAUAUAACCCCAAUCUUCAAAGGUUGACCUCGGAUCAGGUAGGGAUACCCGCUGAACUUAA
rnacentral:misc_RNA from 1 species